UACGAAGGGGGCUAGCGUUGCUCGGAAUCACUGGGCGUAAAGGGUGCGUAGGCGGGUUUUUAAGUCAGAGGUGAAAUCCUGGAGCUCAACUCCAGAACUGCCUUUGAUACUGAAAGUCUUGAGUAUGGGAGAGGUGAGUGGAACUGCGAGUGUAGAGGUGAAAUUCGUAGAUAUUCGGAAGAACACCAGUGGCGAAGGCGACACACUGGCCCGUUACUGACGCUGAGGCGCGAAAGCGUGGGGAGCAAACAGG
rnacentral:rRNA from 1 species